rnacentral:rRNA from 1 species
UGUCCAGACUCCUACGGGAGGCAGCAGUGGGGAAUAUUGGGCAAUGGGCGCAAGCCUGACCCAGCAACGCCGCGUGAAGGAAGAAGGCCCUCGGGUUGUAAACUUCUUUUGUCAGGGACGAAGAAAGUGACGGUACCUGACGAAUAAGCCACGGCUAACUACGUGCCAGCAGCCGCGGUAAUACGUAGGUGGCAAGCGUUAUCCGGAUUUAUUGGGUUUAAAGGGUGCGUAGGCGGAACAUUAAGUCAGCGGUAAAAUCGAGGGGCUCAACCCGGGCCGGCCGUUGAAACUGGGGAUCUUGAGUGGGCGAGAAGUAUGCGGAAUGCGUGGUGUAGCGGUGAAAUGCAUAGAUAUCACGCAGAACUCCGAUUGCGAGGGCAGCAUACCGGCGCCCGACUGACGCUGAGGCACGAAAGCGUGGGUAUCGAACAGGAUUAGAUACCCGUGUACU